UACGUAUGGUGCAAGCGUUAUCCGGAUUUACUGGGUGUAAAGGGAGCGCAGGCAGAAGGCUAAGUCUGAUGUGAAAGCCCGGGGCUCAACCCCGGUACUGCAUUGGAAACUGGUCAUCUAGAGUGUCGGAGGGGUAAGUGGAAUUCCUAGUGUAGCGGUGAAAUGCGUAGAUAUUAGGAGGAACACCAGUGGCGAAGGCGGCUUACUGGACGAUAACUGACGCUGAGGCUCGAAAGCGUGGGGAGCAAACAGG
rnacentral:rRNA from 1 species